UGCUGUCUCUUGUUGAAUCACUGGCUCUGGACAAAACCAGGUUUCAUGUCAUGAGGACUCAUGUGAAACCUCAGGGAGAAAUCUGUGUGGUAAGGAACUGAGGCUUUCUUACGGCACCAAAAACUUACAUGCCAGGUGUGAGAAUGCAUCUUCAGCUUGAAAGUGAUCUGCCAGUCCCAGUCAAAGCUUCAGGUGACUGUAGCCCCUGCCAAUGACCAGAAUGCAACUUCGUGAAAGACCCUGAACCAGAACUACAAGCUACAUCCCCUCAUGACCACCUGUGUACCUCAGAUGCAGUGAUGAAGAUGAGACAAAAUGGAUUUGGUCAUCUUGGGUCACCCAGUGUGCUUUCAGCAGAGGCAAAGAGGAUAUUGUUGCCAUCAAUUACCUCUUCACUGACUUCAGUUAGACUGUGUACGUGUUCCAGGAUGAUUCCUCCCACACCAAGUUCCGUGGUACAGUCAAAGUUGAGAACAGGAGACUUGUAAUCAAUGGAAAGUCUAGGAGUGGGCUCCUAUCAACAUCAAAAUGGGUGAACUGGCGCUCAGCAUGCUGUAGUCUAUAGGUCUCUUCACUACCAGUGGAGACAGCUGGGGCUCUCUUGAAGGAUGAAACUAAAAAGCUAAUUGUCUGUCCCUUCUGGUGAUGCCUCCUACUUGUGAUGGGCAUGAACCGCCAGAAGUAUGGGACUGUCAGCAGUGCUUCCUAUGCCACCAACUGCAUAACCCUCUUGGCCAAGGUCAUCCACAAAACUUUGGCAUUGUGGAGGGAUUCAUUCCCAUAAUUCAGGUCAUCAUUGCCAUGCAGAAAACUGCAUGGCUCUUCUGGAAAACUGUAGCAUGACGGACAUGUGGCUGUCCAGAACAUCAUGUGCUGGUACUGCUACUACCAUGGUGCAGAUUGUCCCUGAGCUGAAUGCCAAGAUUACUGGCUUAGCUUUCUUUGGGCCGACUCCCAGCGUGUCAGUAGUAGAUCUGUCUAGAGAAGACUGAAAACUAUGAUGACAUCUAUAAGGUGGUGAAACAGACCUUGGAGGACCCCCUAAUGGGCAGCCUGGGUUAUAGAAGACUGACUUUUUUCCCUUGUGACUUUAACAGUGACACUCCUUCUUCCAUCUUUAAUGCUGGGGAUGACACUACUCUCAGUGAUCACUUUGUCAAAUUCAUUUCAUAGUAUAAUAAUGACUUUGGGUACAGCAGCAAGAUGGUGGACCUUAUGGUCUGCAUUGCACCCAAGGAGUGGGCCACCAGCCUGAGUAAGGAAUGAAAAGAGGGAGGCUUUAAGCUAAGGAAGAGUCCUGCCCAAACUCAGUUCCCCAACACUCUGAAAUCUCUCCUCCUAUGGGUUCCUGUGCCAGACCUCCUGAAGAAGGGGGAGGUUUAGGUAUCCCUACUUUGUCAUGUACCAUUAAUAAAGUCCACUGUGCCACCGAAAA